UAUAAACGUAUGAUGGACCACUGGGCUAUUGUAACGUAUAUGGUAUUGUUGAGAUAUAGUCUGUGAUCAACUGCUGGUGUAUGAAGUGCGUUGUUCGCAGCAAAACGGAAAAACGUGGAUUGAUGCUCUGGCUAUUGCUAUGACCACAUUUGGAUGGAUGUUUCUAGGAUUAGUCGGUGCUCACUUUGCCAAAAACGUAAAGUACCAUCUGCGGGCCUCUCCCGCAAAAAGGAUGUAAGCUUGAUCAAGGAACCUAUCGUUUGGAAUACGUUCAGCAUUCAUCAACUCGUUAACCUGGAACACGAAAUCAGUAACAUCCAUUCCCUGUACAUCUCCAUUGAACUGGAUACCCCAUUUGUCUAACCGGUAAUGUUGGAACCGAUUAUCUCGCCAAUAAAUUUCCUCAGAUCUUUCUGAGUGGCUUAUCGGUUCAGAAUCUGUGCUAGAUUCUGAUGAAAUAAGACUGCUCAAUGAGUCAAGAGAUGAACUCUCGUCCGCUGAAGGCGAACUUUCAGAAAAUUGGUGCGUUACCGUAAAAUUUAAAAAAGAGAGAAGCUGUAAAAUGAAAGAACUUAGAACUAGCGAAAAUAAACUUCAAUUCACUUUGUUUUUAUAUUGCGUACUAUAAAUCGAUUUUUUUUAUCUUAUUCACCAAAACCCUUAACCUAAAUGAAAUCAAUGCAAAUAAUAUCUAAAGUGCUCGAAUCAACAAUAAAUUACAAUUUAAUUCAAAUAUAUACAAGUGUGGUGAAACCAUGGAACAUUCAAACUUAAAAAUUCUAGUGGGACGAUCUUAUUUGGAGUUGGGCGCCAAUGUAAGGGGGCUCAGGUUAGGGGUCCUUAAAUUCUCGGCUUCGCGCCAGACGACGGAGUCGUCUGCCAAGAACUCCGGUCAAAAAUGCCCAGCUAGCGAUGUCUUGACCCACCAACGAAAAAACCACCUCAACUUCCUUCCCAACGACACAAACAAUGUUCCCAAGUCCAAUCCCAAUAACUUCCCAAAUGCUCCCAAUCACUUACUGAUUCUAUCUUUCUAGUUGU